CCUUUACAAUGCACGAAAGUGUGAUAAGGCAACUCCUUGUGCUUAUCCAAAAGAUAGGCUUUUUUAGUAUGUAAUGUAUACUAAGAAUAAGUGAUGGGCAAGACCGGUGCCAGCAGCCGCGGUAAUACCGGCGUCACAAGUGGAGAUCACGAUUACUGGGUCUAAAGUGUUCGUAGCUGGUCAUAUAAAGUCUCUUGUGAAAAGUUCUGUAAGCUUUAAACUCAGAAUUUGCCAAAGAGAUACUGUAUGACUUGAGACCGGAAGAGGU
rnacentral:rRNA from 1 species